ACCGUCACAAAGGGGAGCUUCAAAGCUGAGAAUGAGUGAAAACUCUAAACCCUCGAACCUGAUAUUGUUAAUUCAAGCGUAGGAAUUGUGUGAAGUGGUAGC
rnacentral:ncRNA from 1 species